AACGAACGCUGGCGGCAUGCCUAACACAUGCGAGUCGAACGAGACCUUCGGGUCUAGUGGCGCACGGGUGCGUAACGCGUGGGAACCUGCCCUUAGGUUCGGAAUAACUCCCCGAAAGGGGUGCUAAUACCGGAUAAUGUCUUCGGACCAAAGAUUUAUCGCCUUUGGAUGGGCCCGCGUUGGAUUAGCUAGUUGGUAGGGUAAAAGCCUACCUAGGCGACGAUCCAUAGCUGGUCUGAGAGGAUGAUCAGCCACACUGGGACUGAGACACGGCCCAGACUCCUACGGGAGGCAGCAGUGGGGAAUAUUGGACAAUGGGCGAAAGCCUGAUCCAGCAAUGCCGCGUGAAUGAUGAAGGCCUUAGGGUUGUAAAGCUCUUUUACCCGGGAUGAUAAUGACAGUACCGGGAGAAUAAGCUCCGGCUAACUCCGUG
rnacentral:rRNA from 1 species